UUGGUCUCAGGGCCUGUUUUGCUCCCUGGCUGGUCAGGCUCUACCCUGACACCCCUGGGGAGCUCCAGCUGCUCCUGGCUCCCUGACCUGUGGGGACAAGUGGCUGCUGAGUGCCAGGGACAUACAUGAACCUUUCCCUGCUGGAACACACCGAUGAGUUUAGCUGCCUCCUCUUCAUCCUGGACAUGAUAUGGUGCCUUGAAGCCACUCUGGCGUGAGAAGAAGGCUGGGAACUCCCUCGACUCCCCAAAGGCAGCCACACAGACACCCUGGGUCUCCUGCAGCAGGGAGGUGAGAAAAGACGGUAAUCAGUGGAGGGAAAGGGGACCCCCAAAAAGAGAUUGACUUUUCCCUUCUAACCAGCUAGAAGCUGCCUUUCUUUAGCACAGCAUUUAGUUACUCUUAUACAUCCUGUUCUAUUCUGUUCUGUCAAAUCAAACAGCCAGACACGGUAACUAGUCAGACAGAAAACAUAUUAUUGAAACGUAGUAGACGCAUGCGCUUUGCUCAGAGCUGAUCAAAAGCAGGGCAGCUGUCACUAGCACAAUACUGAGUCCAAGGUAACAAGCUGGGAUCUGAAGUUAUGUCAUCAACUGACAGGAAUUUAAAUGAGUUCUGUUUCUGAUUGAAAGGUAUUGACACUGGCUGUCACCUGAAGCGCUGGCUGUGGUGGUUUCCAACAUACCAAACCUUAAAAAUGGACUCUACUGAAAAUCGUCUUGUUUCUCCUUGUAAUUCUGAUUUUGGUUUAAUGUCUGACGGAUCUAGCUUGUGUGAUCCAUCAGUGCUGGAGCAUUUUCUCAGUAGAUAGUAAAGUGAAUCUAAAGCCAGAAAAGAGGCCAUGGCUUGGGGUGCCUUUGGCCUCAGUCGGAACAGUUGUUGGAACAGCCUCCUGGAUGUGGAUAGGUUUGUGUUAGGGGUAGCCCAGUGUUUGAAUAGCCCCAGAACUAGAAAAUGGUAAAUAUGGGCCUCACAUUCUCUCAAUAGUUGUUUGUGAAAAUCUUGGGCUUAAUAACUGCCCCAACAUCACCGGGCCUUCUUGUCACUGCUGGACUCGGUACACAAAGUAUAUCAUCACCUGCUUUCAUGCUCUGCAGCCCACUAUACCUACCAGAUAUUCCAGUGUCCUGCCAAUAUCAAGGAUAGACUUGACUCCUGCAGAUACAACAGCAACUGGAGUUCGUCCUAGCUCUGUCAAGUCAGCACUCACAUCCAGAGCUGUCAAGAGACAAGCAGCUGUUGUUUGUGAUAGCAUUGCACACCAAGCUGACCUUAUCUGGCCUCUUAAAAAGCCAUAUCUGCCUGGGAUGCCAGGGCCUGCUUUUGCAACCAUUUUGAUCCACAAACAAACAUUACAGGUUUAGAUCAUGCUAUUAGAUGUUGAGAUUGUAAGAGAGACUGAGAUAGUAAGAGAGACUGAAAACUACAAAGUCACUUGGCCUAGGGCAGAGAUGCAGCCCUACGCUGAUUGUCUCACCUGUUUAUUCACCUCAGAAAACAGCAUGCAAAAAUUUGGUCAAAAAGAAAGAAGGUGUCAUAAAACAAGGACAAAGUUCAAGAAGAUGGAAUAUAAGAAGACUUUGAUUUUGGUGUUGACAUAGCUGGCAGAAAAGCACCACAGGAGCUUUGCUGACCUCAGGAAACCCCCUGGUCUGGAAUUUACAUCACAUCUGAGAGAGACAGCAUUCAUCAGGGCGGUUUGCUUACACUAUGCUAGGAAUAUACAUGGCUAAAAAGAAUGUACUUAGAGGUCACAAACUACACUGCCAAGGCUAUGCCAUGUCCCCAUGUUUCCAGAGAGGAACGUGGACCAGGGCCUAAAUCUCUUUUGCGGCGAGACCCUCCUCCUCCUUAGCUGUCAGCGAGCCAGUAACAGCACUGUGCUUCACAGCCAGUAUCAGGUUAUCCAGCUAGCACAAAGUGGGGAAAGUACAGUCAGCUCCUGCUGCACCAUCAGACAAUAUCCAUAUAACCCUGUGCAAACAAAGGAUAAAGAGAAACUCCCACACUCUUAUCUGGCCAGUGCUCAAGAGGAAUAUUUUGAAGCUUCUGGAAAGGAGAUACUGGAGAGAAAACAACCAGAGUAUGGUUGAGAGAAUGAUAACUUCACUCUUCUGAGCAGACAGUUUCUGUAGGGCAAACUGAGAAAAAGGAAGAAAGAUGGAAUUAAAUAAAACUGCAGCAACGAGAAGAAAAGUAGAAUGUAUUGACUUUCUUACUGUUCUCUCCUCCCCGAUGGACACCUCCGAUGCCUCCUGUCACAAACACACAAAUUCCUGCCUUGUGUGCUGCAAUCAUUGUUCCGGACACGGUAGUGCCACCGGACAAGCCCUGUCAGGGGACAACCAGUCACAGUCAGCACGGAGCACGACCCAGAGAAUACUGCAUGCAGGCAGCUACGGUUGUGGUCCGACACGCAGCAAUGUCACAACAGCCUGCUGACACAGCUGGCAAGUGAAAUUCGGAUACAAAUAUUCCUAGGCAAAAAUGCAGAGGAAUUAUCAUCCCUGCUACAUAAAUUGUUCUUGUAAUAGCAAAAGCCUUUAUUCUCCAGGGCUUUCCAGCCAGAAAGAUUAAUGGGCAACCAAUGUCACCUCAAGCACUGUGUGCGUAACUUGGGGUGGCUUGUGUGUCACACAGUUUAUAUGUAACAUGGUGAUGCCUUAUCAUGCCGAUAUGAAUGUUCUUAGCUUAGCCAGCCAGUUCAGAAUGGUCUGAAUCCAGGUCUGCUAUUCCCUGACUGAUAUAUUUUGACUCUGUAUAGGAAUAUAUUUCAACUUACCAAUAAGACACCAUGUUAUGUGGUGUCUUAAAGAGGUUUAGAGCUACCUGGCUUGAAGCUGGAGAGCACCCUAUUGCUAUAUAGAAAACAUCAAAGUAGGAAGCCUGCAUUACCAUACCUGGCUGAGGACAUAAGGAAGAUCUCUCCGAGACACUUUAACUACAUUUUUACUGCUUGCCAAGAACUGAAGUUCCUCAUCUGUGAGUCCCACGUGGAUUUGACCCCUUAAAAUACCUAUAGUGGCUGGAACUGCUCCAUUUGUUGUUACAAUUUUUUCUACCUCUCUGGCCAUGCUAGAAUAAGAUAGACAAGACAACGAUCACAGAAUUAGUGAGGGAAACAAUCAGGUAAGAAAUCUGCCAUGUUUGAUGGCCAACAUUCCCAAUUUCCAGAUCUAUACAGUUUUUGGGAUUUCAGCAAAGUCCAGUUCCUCUUCUGUAUCUUGCUAAUGGCAGAAGACUUUGCAUUUGAUUUUACAGCAGUGCAGAGCUAUCGAGAGCUCCCGUUUUCAGGACAGCAAUGUACAGGCUCUGUACUUCAUUUUUGAGGCAGGAUCUAUAAAAUAGCCUGUUUUACAAGCAAACCUAUUUGUACAAUACACUACUGAAUAUUAGAGAUAUUCUCAAAAUAGAGCCUUUCAGUAUCUAUUACUUGUAUUUCUGAGAACAUAAACCUUCAUAGAAACCCCAGAUACUUCAAGUCCUAUUCAAACAACCAGGCUAUAUUUUUCACAAUCUAAGCAGUCGGAUAUAAGGUAACAACAGUGCAGAAAAGCUGCAGCCUGAGAAUAUUCUAGAGUUUCAGACUAGGUUUUUCUAAGCUUUCCAGGUUUUAUAUUUCAUCAUCUGUAGACUACUGUCUUAAGAGCAGCUUCUUCUCCCUUCCUGAGCUAUCUGUACAUACACUAGACAAUCUUUAACUCUGAAACUACCUUCUCCAAAACCUGACUGAACUUCAUUGUAAGAUGGAGUGCCAGGCAAAACAAUGGCAAGGUCAAUACUGAAACCUUCCUGUGCUUUCAGGAAGCUAGGAUGGAGAGCAGACUGAAUGAAACACAAAUGUACAGGACAUCAAUAAAUAAAAGGUAGAGUUUUUUGUGGGCCUUUUUUUCCCCUAUGCAGGGCACAGAGAGACCAGCAGCUCUCACAGCAGCUGCUCUGAGUGGCACCAAUGAGUAGAUUUCACUAUUGUGUUCCAAUCCUUUUCGUAUUAUAAAAGGUACACCUAAAGAAACCACGAAGUGUUUUCAGUGUCUGUACAAAUUAUGCAGCCACAAAGUGUGGUUUAUCAGUCUUAGAGCAAAUUAUGAUAUUAUCUGCUGCCAGAUUUUAAAGGAAGCCAGAAAUGUGAGGUGUUGAGUAAGGACAUGUGUUAUAUGGUUCUGCUCUCCUUAGAAGUCCAAAUACAACUGUUUUACACCAGAGCUCAUAUUCUGUAUCCCUAGCAACCUGACAUUUCCCUUUGCUUCGUUCUUAUAACUUUGUUGAACGAGGAACAUCAAAAUCCACAACCUUAGAUUCUGAGGAUAGGCCAUGCCAUGUGUAAUGAUGGUGCUUUCCAAGGCUACAACUGGUCUCCCCUCCAUCAGGGCUUCCUGUACGGAGGGCUGAAUCCUGAAAUAAGCACCUGCGGAUAAAUAUAGAAAACUCAGUUAUUUGCACGGAUAUUUGCAGCAAACACUGAGCUAUUUUAUAAAAGGCAAAUUAUCAUCAUCGCAAUAAAUUUAUUCUCCUUUUCAGCUACUCUUUGGGGGGAAUUCAGAAAUGACUCCAUGGAGACUAAAACUGUGUUUUAUGUGACUGAAAUGUUUGCAAAACCCAUCCAAACAAAAAACAACGCUACAAUUAAUACAAAUAAUAAUCCUCAUCACCAUCGCUCAAUGUUCCUCUCCCACCACUGUUGCAGCUGUGUUGUUAUUGGCUCCAGUAAUAUUACCUUAAAUGGACGUUACUGUGAAUGAACUGAGCCCUGCAAUCAUGCCCAAAGAAUAACAUGUGUUAAAAGAGUAGAAGCAUCAAGGAUACCAUAAUAACCCAAUAUAUUAUAAGACUAUUGUGCAUCAAAAUUUCUCCUAAU